GCAUUGGUGGUUCAGUGGUAGAAUUCUAGCUUACCAUGUUGGAGGCCUGGGUUCGAUUCCCAGCCAAUGCA
rnacentral:tRNA from 1 species